rnacentral:lncRNA from 1 species
AUCACAGCUUCCUCCGCCCCCUUGAGUCAGGUAACACUGACGUAAUUCUGAUAAAGGAUACAACGUUCCGCCUGAGGGGUUCGGAUACGGGGGAGGGGGACGAGACAACGGCCUUUCGCUCUCUUGUUGUUUGUCUUCUUUUGAACUGAGCGCGGUCGGCUCAGCCGGCGCCAUCUCGCCAACGGUCAUUGGCGGCUCCGUCUCCUCUCGGCCCCUGCAAGAAACUGCUCCCGAGUCCCCAUCGGACCCGACCGGGUCCCAUGUCUCGCCUCCUCCGCUGAGACCCAAAAGUUCUUAGACUUGGAGUCAGUCCUGCAUAUUGAGAAGCUUCUUGCAAGGUAACAGUAAAGGGAAACGGCGUGAGAUCUGCAGAGUGCGUAGCAGUGGUGUUACAGAAGUAGUACCAUACAAACUGUGAUCCUCCUUACCUACUGGGAGACUUCGAAAGCAGACCUCAUUAAAAUAUCCAGAGGUAUUUCAGAACUUAAAUAACCUAUUUGUCUUUACAAAAGGGUCACUCUUUCUUAUUGCUGCUAGUACCAGUUAACUGAGAUGUGAAUGCUGUGCCUGGGCUGAGCCCACUGUAAUCAUUUCAAGAGGAGCACUCAGCAGUCAUAACCUUAUAACAAAGAUUGGUCAUUCUCACUGUCAACCUGUAGACUGGAUUUUAAAUCAUUGUUUCUGAGAGAAAAGGCAUUACAUGCCAUUAUCAUUUCCCCAAACCCUAUACUUCUGCAUGGCAAAUAGCUGCCAAAACUACAUUUUUAAUAUCAAAUCAGAGAUUAACUGGUCAUGUUCUAGAUAGAAUACAACUGUGGAAAACUCUGAUUUUAUAUAUGGUCAUAACAAUACAUUUGGCCAGAGAAUACAUCUUAAUUUCAAUUUAUUUUUCCACGCUGAAAUGCAAUUGACAUUUUACAAUCUUUCCAGUGUAAAUCAUACUUUUUGAAUUUCCAAGCUGAUUAAUUGGAAGUGGAAACAAAACUACAAUUUCAGCAUCUUUAAACUCACAAUCCCUACAGUGCUGAGAUAAAACUGCUGUUGUUUCCAAUAAAUCCUAACCAAAGUACAGCACCUAGCAUCCACAACAGAUCAGAGAGAGCAUGAAAUGAAAGAAGGGACAGGUAGAUGGAAAAGUAAUGGAUGAGCAUCCAUUCAUAGCCCCUGGCAUCAGUGAACAAGUUUGCUAGCAUUAGUGCACUAGUCUAAUGUUUACAUGAUCUUAUUAUUAAACCCCCAUUUAGUAACAUUGUCAGAAAAUGCAUAAAAUAUAAUAUUGUAUUUAAAAGAUAAUAUGUUAUUCAAACAAACUAUUAAAGAAAAUGGGAUAGUUUUUGCUAUGCCAAAUGGUUCUUUGUCAAACUGACAUGUGACACAGAAGACAUUAGACGUUUUAGAGUUUUUAGCUAUUAUUAUUUUCACCUGUUAUGAAAUAACAUUCUCCCCUGCGAUACUGCGCAAUAAUGUUGAAAUUAAAUUUUUCCAGAGUUAAUGACUGCAGGUAAACAUUCUUCUAGGAAAAUACCUGUAACUGGCAGGGUGAUAAAUCUCAUCGAAGUUUUUCCUGUAACUUCAGGGUAAUAAAAAAAAACAAACAGAAAAAUUACUGGAAGAUCAGCCACAACUGUUUAAAAUUCUGCACAUUAUUCAGUAUGCUUUCUCCUUAUGUGUAUACUUUCCUUAGGGAUAUUGGGAAUUAGCAUUUCAACUGGUAUGGAAAAAAAAUUGGACACUUUCUUCUCUCUUAUGUUUAUGAUUAUUUAUACAAGGAUAAGGGAAGGGGCUAAAUAAGGUUAAUUCUGCUCGCUUUCCAUAUUGCAGGUACAUUAGUCCUUAAAACAUAAUACCAUCUUGUAAUGUAAAUCAGUUAUUGUCACUCCAAACUUGGCUACUUCACAGUUGACAGUAUCUUGUUCCUAUUUUUUAAUGCUGAAAACUCAUUUUACCAAUUCUUUUAUGAGAACAAAAGAAAAAAAAUUGAUAAUUAUUACUUCAUGGAAAGACUGUAAAUCAUCUUCAUUUAAUGAUUCAUUAGGAAGACUGACUGUGAAUUCUGAAAAUAAAAUAUUUUU